rnacentral:rRNA from 1 species
GAUGAACGCUGGCGGCGUGCUUAACACAUGCAAGUCGAACGGAAAGGCUCCUGCUUGCAGGGGUACUCGAGUGGCGAACGGGUGAGUAACACGUGGGUGAUCUGCCCUGCACUUCGGGAUAAGCCUGGGAAACUGGGUCUAAUACCGGAUAGGACCACAUUUUGGAUGGUGUGGUGGAAAGUUUUUCGGUGUGGGAUGAGCUCGCGGCCUAUCAGCUUGUUGGUGGGGUAAUGGCCUACCAAGGCGUCGACGGGUAGCCGGCCUGAGAGGGUGUACGGCCACAUUGGGACUGAGUUACGGCCCAGACUCCUACGGGAGGCAGCAGUGGGGAAUAUUGCACAAUGGGCGCAAGCCUGAUGCAGCGACGCCGCGUGGGGGAUGACGGCCUUCGGGUUGUAAACUCCUUUCGCUAGGGACGAAGCGCAAGUGACGGUACCUGGAGAAGAAGCACCGGCUAACUACGUG